rnacentral:rRNA from 1 species
UACGGAGAGUGCAAGCAUUAAUCGGAAUUACUGGGCGUAAAGCGUGCGCAGGCGGUUCGUUGUGUCCGUCGUGAAAGCCCCGGGCUUAACCUGGGAACUGCGAUGGAAACUAGCGAGCUGGAGUGUGGCAGAGGGGGGUGGAAUUCCGCGUGUAGCAGUGAAAUGCGUAGAGAUGCGGAGGAACACCGAUGGCGAAGGCAGCCCCCUGGGCUAACACUGACGCUCAGGCACGAAAGCGUGGGGAGCAAACAGG